CGACUCCCGUCCCGUACGCCUCCCACACCGAGCGCCGUCUCCGCUUCUCCUAUACCGAGCGGCCGCAAUCCCCCUCCAGAUCCAGCCCUCCGCCGGCGCCGUCCAUCCAUCAGCCUCGCCCUUCUCCUCCGCGCCGUCAUUCGCUGUCGAGGCCGCCGCCUUCCCCAAUCCUAGACCUAUUGGCCCGGAUAGGGGAUCUCGCCGCCAUCGUCGUAUCUCGCCGUCGCCGCAACCUACAAGCCACGGAAUCUGAAAUUAUUUGUAUACAUGUGCAUUCUCAUGCUGUUGGAGAUGCAUGUGUGUGGCGGCGGCUGCCUGUGGGUGGCACAUGCAUGUGGCGUCGUGGUCAGUAGAGCGUCAACCCCCGCGGAGGCUAUGAGUGGCGUAGGUGUGCGGCGCGGCGGCGAGUGGAGGCGCAGGUGGCUCAAGGCCAAAAGCGAGUACUAUUACUGCAUAUACAUGUUUUGGAGAGCGAUAUGCGUUUAAAAUGCUGCAAUGCGAAACUGUGCCACUUUGCCCACGCCUCUUUCCGCACUGAGUCGAUGCCGGUAGCACAACCGACGAGGUAAAUUUUUUUUUCUUUGCAAACUCCUGUUCUUCCCAACUUCUGGAAGCCUGUUCCUAUUCUAUUUCAGCGAAUAACAAUGAUAUUUCACUAGGAUUAUACUGCAGGGUUAUGCAUGUUACUAGCCAAUCUUAAAUAUAUCAAACUUUAUUGACUGAGCUGAGUGAUUAGGUGUCAAGUUGCAGUUUAUAUAUCAAACAUCGGAUGAGUGAACAAGAAAUUCGACAGGUUGAUAGAUAUAAAUGGGCAAAUGAUCGGGAAGAUUAAGAUUGCAUAUACACAAUGAUUUUCACUUCAUUUUUGCUUCUAUUCUGCAAACCAUGGAUAUGCUCUCUGUUUUGGUAAUCGUCCAAUAACUAGCAAUAACAUGCUCUGAAUUGUGAUGAUUGUGAACUAAUCCUAGCGACCAACUUGAUGAUGUUAUAGUCAGGAUUGUAAUUACUGUUUCUAGGGUUCUACAUAAAUUGGCUUGCUAGGGUUGGAUGAAUAAUGAAUGAAUGAAUGCUGAUGCAAGUGCAGUACUGGAACUAGAAAAGCUAAUAUAAAUCAUACUAACAUAAUUAAGUCCUUGUAUAUGCUUGCAUGAUGAAAUAACUGAAUUUGGCACAUCAGCAGGAUCAUAUUCUAAAAUAAAUCAUAUUGAAUGAUGCAGUAAUUUACAUGGUUCUAUACUUUGAAAAUCAUGCCAAGAUAUGAACUAUAGAGAAUGGAAUUAUAACCCCAUGAAACCUGACCUUGAAUACAGAUAAUUUACUGCUACUGACUGUAUAUUGUGACUAAACUAUAGAGUUGUUGAUGCUGGAAAAAACUAAACUAUUGAUUAACUAACUAUUUUUACAGUAAAUGAUUUGGUAGAAAAAAACUUAUAUGUUCUGUUAAGUUAUUAAAAUUUAGUAGAACUAUGACUAUUUAUCACUAUGCAUACUUAGAUGUACUUAAAAUUCAUCCUAUGGUUUCUUUUCUGAGUUUUGUAGUAAAGAACUAGAUACAUAUACAAACUUAACCCAGAUUCAUAACCUACUGGUUUCACAUGCUAUUCUACAAUUCAAAUGAUUAAUAAUUUAGGAUGGUUCCUCUAUUAAAUCUGGGUUGAUUUUCAAUAUUUUUAAAUGAAAUUAGAUUCAUAUACACAUACCCUAACCUUCCAAGAAUAUGCACAGCUCAGAUUUUACUUUGUUUGUAUGACCAAAAUCUGAAAGUUCUAUAUUUUUUUAAGUGCACAUGCAUUUGUAUAAAAUUCAUGUUUUUCUUUACUAAUUUUCCGUUCCUGGUUAUAUAUGCAGUUACAUUGUGAGUUUUUGACUGUGUACAUGGGCAUAGGUAGCUUACUUUUUGACUGUAUCUCCUUGUGGAUACAGUUUCUUUUUUUAGAUCAAUUUGGAAUCCCUCUGAUUAAUUUAUAUUUUCAGAAAAGAAGUUUCAGUAUAAACCUAAGAUAAACUUGAGAAUCUUCAGUUUCUCAAGUUCUGCUGACAGUUCCUUACAACUGAUUGGUUCUGCUUGAUUUCAGUUUUCAUCCUAGCAAUUGCAGUUUAGCAUUUCUUGUAAUCAUGUAGUUUCUGUCCAGUUUCCAGUGGAACAUUAGGUACCGAAUUACCACUUGAGUGGUGAUCAUCUGAACUAAAAGCCAGCAUUUGAGUUCAUGCUAUUAGCCUAAAAUUACAGAAAUUUUGUUUCGGUCAUUAUUUUGAUAUGAGUUUUCCCUGCUCAUGCUAAACUCACUUCUACCAAACUAUUUGAUGUUUCUAGCAAGAGAGUCAAAUCAGUGAUGUUUUCAAUUUUAGAAUCAAGAAACAUGAAUAUUGAUAUAUGCAUGCAGGUCUUCAGCGAGUGUCAAGUGUUGUGUGAUGAUAUAGUAGGGGACAUGCACUGUGAGUAGUAUUUAUAUAGAGCACAUUUGAUCAUUGAUUUGCUCCAUGUGAAAGGAGCUUCAGAAUUCAGAUUAGAUCAGGGAUCAAUAUGUUUUGCUGAACUUUCUAUGUUAUUUGAUUGCAAAUUUCAGUUUGUCAAACCACUUUGUCAUGUUUUUUCCAUGCUGCACAUGCAUUUGCUAAUAACUAUGGAGUAGUAUUUUUAAUAUAACUGAUCACUGAUUAUAGAUGUUCAUCUAAUUUAUUUUAUACCACAGUAUGCUUUGUUUUUUCCCUUGCAUCUUCAAUUUUGCAAACUCCAACUCGUGAUAGGUUACUAACCUGCAGACCUCAGCUAAAAAUAAAUGUUCUGAAUAUUCAGGUAGCUUAAAUGGGAGAUCUAAAUAAUUUAUAUGAUUUGCGUUUUCCUGUGCAUAACGUCAUUAGUAAGGUUUGUGAUCUUUCAUAGUGAUGGGAAUAUAGUAAACCUGCAUAUAAUGUAGAGCUUUUCCUGUAACAAUUACUGUACAAAGCAAAUACUGCUUUAUGUUAGAUAAAUAAAUAGCCCUUGCUUUCUCCAUUUAUAUUAUACUGAACCUUUGUUGCUCUUGCGUGUGUUUCUUUUUUUGGAAGAACGGCUCUUUGUGGAUGUUUUGUUCAAAAGCAGAAGUACUUGCCACCCCUACCUUGCUUAUGUUGGUUGAUAAGUAUGUUGAAUUCAAGUUUUAAUGAAAAUUUGUAUCUUGUUAUUGUUUAAAUAGUUGGUGAUUAAACUGUCCUAAUUUCUUUAUUCAUUUUCCUUUUAUUUUGGAUAUGGAUAUAUUUUUUUUACCUGCAACCUCUUUUCUGGAAUUAUAUAGAAAACAACUCUUUUCUUCUCUUUCAAAAGUAUUUAGGACGUAACACAACUGAGAAUCUCCAGUUUUUCAGGAUAAAAUUGGCAAGUAGUCCUUUUGGCAAAGACUAUAGUAAUCAGGAGGUCAUAAAUCUAGGUUCACUAAACCCAAAGGCUUCUAUAGCACUGGGAUGCCUGGUGCUAGUGGUUAUUUGGGCAGCUAUGGGGGUGAUGGUGGGUAUGGCAUUACUCCACCGGGAGGCCAGGAAGAAAAUGAUUCAUGGUCAUUAGAUAAGAUCUAGUAGGUGAUUGUGUCCCAACAUCCCAUUAUAUCAUACCAUGCCAUCUUGUGCUAUUUUCUUUAAUCCUAGAAUUUAUUUUGCCAAAAUUCAUGAGGAUAUUGCUGGAUCAAUAGAAACAAUUGGCUGUAAGAGUGAAUGAUGGUUUGAUUCCUUAAAUACUUUUAAUAUACAUGCGUUGCACCAAUUUCGGUUGUGGAAUA